GGAGGCAUAGCUUAGUGGUAGAGUGCAUGCUUUGCGUGUAGAGGUCCUAGGUUCAAUACCCAGUACCUCCA
rnacentral:tRNA from 1 species